rnacentral:misc_RNA from 1 species
CCUAAAUGCAAUCUUUUGACCUUUGUACUGUUGGUCCUCAACAAGUGGCUUGCUGUGUCUAUUAACCCAAAUCACUUCUCUUAACCCUCCUCUUCAUCAUCUCAGCCCAACUAGCAAGAACAUUGGAAGUUUCAAACUUGGCAGAGAACUUCAUCUUUUGGGCCAACUCCUCAAGCAUAUCGGGCUUCCCAGAUCUGGACAAAUCACAUGCGAACUUGUUGUAGUCAAGCUGGGGAGCUUUCAUUCCUUUCUCUAACAUCUCCUCCAAGUAUUUACAAGCUUCGCCUGAUCUUC